GGAAGCCCCUCAGGCGUGGAGGAUCUAGAUUGCAGCAGUGGGUGGUUGGAAGGCCCGAAUAAGGUUUAUAUUCCAUUUCUAGCUUGUGGGGACCUCAGUGGGUAUGAUUCUGACCGAUCAUAUCCACUGCCGANNNNNNNNNNNNGCUUGGACCCGGUACAGCCCCCAAUUGCUCCUCCUUACAAGAGAGCUCUUGAAAUGAAGAAAGCUUCUAAUCAUGGCAUCAAAGAGCUUGAAAAGCUCUCCUUGGAUUCUUGAUCUUCCCUCUGAAUUUUUUGUUUUUCAAUUUAUCUUUUUCCCUUACACAGAAUCUCAACGAAUUUUGAAGGGUUAAUUUUGUUGUAGUUGGAUAUUACUGGC
rnacentral:misc_RNA from 1 species